GUUUCCUUUCAACUUACUCUAACGGCAGAUUCUGACAUUUUAGCUCUUCAAAGGAGGGAAAGAAGACGUAAUAGUCUUAAUAACUGAGAUGGAUCUGCGUGAGCCAAAAUGGAAAUUCUUUGCUGUCAGUGUGCUGCUGCUCACACUGUACCCCAGUGA